rnacentral:rRNA from 1 species
CCUACGGGAGGCAGCAGUGGGGAAUAUUGGACAAUGGGCGAAAGCCUGAUCCAGCAAUGCCGCGUGAGUGAUGAAGGCCUUAGGGUUGUAAAGCUCUUUUACCAGGGAUGAUAAUGACAGUACCUGGAGAAUAAGCUCCGGCUAACUCCGUGCCAGCAGCCGCGGUAAUACGGAGGGAGCUAGCGUUAUUCGGAAUUACUGGGCGUAAAGCGUACGUAGGCGGUUAUUCAAGUCAGAGGUGAAAGCCCGGGGCUCAACCCCGGAACUGCCUUUGAAACUAGAUAACUAGAGUCUUGGAGAGGUUAGUGGAAUUCCGAGUGUAGAGGUGAAAUUCGUAGAUAUUCGGAAGAACACCAGUGGCGAAGGCGACUAACUGGACAAGUACUGACGCUGAGGUACGAAAGCGUGGGGAGCAAACAGGAUUAGAUACCCUGGUAGUCCACGCCGUAAACGAUGAUAACUAGCUGUCCGGGCACUUGGUGCCUGGGUGGCGCAGCUACGACAUAAGUUAUCCGUCCGUCGGGUAGGUACGGUCGCGAGAAUUAAACUUAAACUUAGUAAUUAGUACGGCGUGAGACGUGCCGACGGACGACGACGAGGGAGGUAGG